rnacentral:rRNA from 1 species
GACGAACGCUGGCGGCGUGCUUAACACAUGCAAGUCGAACGGAAAGGCCCUGCUUUUGUGGGGUGCUCGAGUGGCGAACGGGUGAGUAACACGUGAGUAACCUGCCCUUGACUUUGGGAUAACUUCAGGAAACUGGGGCUAAUACCGGAUAGGAGCUCCUGCUGCAUGGUGGGGGUUGGAAAGUGUCGGCGGUUGGGGAUGGACUCGCGGCUUAUCAGCUUGUUGGUGGGGUAGUGGCUUACCAAGGCUUUGACGGGUAGCCGGCCUGAGGGGGUGACCGGCCACAUUGGGACUGAGAUACGGCCCAGACUCCUACGGGAGGCAGCAGUGGGGAAUAUUGCACAAUGGGCGGAAGCCUGAUGCAGCAACGCCGCGUGCGGGAUGACGGCCUUCGGGUUGUAAACCGCUUUCGCCUGUGACGAAGCGUGAGUGACGGUAAUGGGUAAAGAAGCACCGGCUAACUACGUG